UACGUAGGGGGCAAGCGUUGUCCGGAUUUAUUGGGCGUAAAGAGCGUGUAGGCGGCUUGGUAGGUCUCGCGUCAAAACCUGAGGCUCAACCUCAGUUCGCGUGGGAAACCACCUAGCUAGAGUCCGGAAGAGGAGAACGGAAUUCCCAGUGUAGCGGUGAAAUGCGCAGAUAUUGGGAAGAACACCAGUGGCGAAGGCGGUUCUCUGGGACGGUACUGACGCUGAGACGCGAAAGCCAGGGGAGCAAACGGG
rnacentral:rRNA from 1 species